GGAUGAACGCUGGCGGCGUGCCUAAUACAUGCAAGUCGAGCGAACAGACGAGGAGCUUGCUCCUCUAACGUUAGCGGCGGACGGGUGAGUAACACGUGGAUAACCUACCUAUAAGACUGGGAUAACUUCGGGAAACCGGAGCUAAUACCGGAUAAUAUAUUGAACCGCAUGGUUCAAUAGUGAAAGACGGUUUUGCUGUCACUUAUAGAUGGAUCCGCGCCGCAUUAGCUAGUUGGUAAGGUAACAGCUUACCAAGGCAACGAUGCGUAGCCGACCUGAGAGGGUGAUCGGCCACACUGGAACUGAGACACGGUCCAGACUCCUACGGGAGGCAGCAGUAGGGAAUCUUCCGCAAUGGGAGAAAGCCUGACGGAGCAACGCCGCGUGAGUGAUGAAGGUCUUCGGAUCGUAAAACUCUGUUAUUAGGGAAGAACAAAUGUGUAAGUAACUAUGCACGUCUUGACGGUACCUAAUCAGAAAGCCACGGCUAACUACGUG
rnacentral:rRNA from 1 species